rnacentral:rRNA from 1 species
AUUAGAUACCCUCCUAUUUUUAUUGUGAAAUUUUAAGCUGGAGUAUUAAUAGUUAUGUUCUUGAAACUUAAAGAAUUUGGCGGUAUUAUAGUCUAUUUAGAGGAAUCUGUUAUGUAAUUGAUAAUCCGCGUUGAACCUUACUUAUAUUUAUUAGUUCUUGUAUAUCACUGUUUAUGAAUAUAUUAGUAGAUAAUAUUCUUUAUAUAAAAUUAAAUAUAAUUUCAAGUCAAGGUGCAGUAAUAUAUAAGAUGAAUAAUGGAUUACAAUAAAUUUUGUUUAUAUGGAUAAUUGGUUGAAAUAUUAAUUUGAAGGUGGAUUUAAUAGUAAUUUUUUGAAGAUUGUUAAAAUGAUUUUAGCUCUAUAGUAUGCACACAUCGCCCG